GAUGAACGCUGGCGGCGUGCCUAAUACAUGCAAGUCGAGCGAACGGACGAGAAGCUUGCUUCUCUGAUGUUAGCGGCGGACGGGUGAGUAACACGUGGAUAACCUACCUAUAAGACUGGGAUAACUUCGGGAAACCGGAGCUAAUACCGGAUGAUAUUUUGAACCGCAUGGUUCAAAAGUGAAAGACGGUCUUGCUGUCACUUAUAGAUGGAUCCGCGCUGCAUUAGCUAGUUGGUAAGGUAACGGCUUACCAAGGCAACGAUGCAUAGCCGACCUGAGAGAGUGAUCGGCCACACUGGAACUGAGACACGGUCCAGACUCCUACGGGAGGCAGCAGUAGGGAAUCUUCCGCAAAGGGCGAAAGCCUGACGGAGCAACGCCGCGUGAGUGAUGAAGGUCUUCGGAUCGUAAAACUCUGUUAUUAGGGAAGAACAUAUGUGUAAGUAACUGUGCACAUCUUGACGGUACCUAAUCAGAAAGCCACGGCUAACUACGUG
rnacentral:rRNA from 1 species